CUUACCACUUUGUGAUUCAUGACUGGGGUGAAGUCGUAACAAGGUAACCGUAGGGGAACCUGCGGUUGGAACACCUCCUUACCUUAAAGAAGC
rnacentral:rRNA from 1 species